rnacentral:rRNA from 1 species
AUGUCUGACUGCCUAGAAUGCAAGAGUAUACUUGUAGUAUGGUUCUCGGCCUCUCUAGAGAUAUUGUCGUUAUGGAGGAUGGGUAACCUGACCACAUUAUGUAAUAACCUUGAUAUGGAUGCUGGAGGAUGCAUUACCCCUCUGCAAAUUUUCCCAAGGCUAAAGAGGAUGUACUUGAAUGAGCUACGAAGCCUCGAGAUAUGUGCAGAAAACAGUGUGGGACAGCCUUGUGAUAGCAUGGUAACGUUCCCGAUGGUUGAAGUGCUAACAGUCAGAGAUUGCCCCAAGCUUGCGAGUAUUCCAGUGACCCCCACAGUCAAUGAGUUGAAAAUAGUUGGAGUACACAGUACUGCAUAUAGUUUAAUUUUUAUGAGGAUCUAUUUGGGCUCUUGGCCAUUUCUCGCUAGGUUAACUCCUGGGUCUCCGGAAAACAUAGCCAUGUUGCCUCUAGACGCCCAGCAACACCAAAGUGAAAGUCCUCUUGAAAAACUUACGUAUUUUGAUCUGGAAGACCUUAACAGCUUGGACACAAGCUCCCCAUUGUCUAGACCGCACUUUAUGCCUUGGAAAUGCUUUUCGCUCGUGGAAGAGCUGGAAAUUGGUGGAUGGAAAAGUCUUGUCUGCUGGCCAACAGAGGAGCUCCGGUGCUUGGAUCAACUCCGUGUUCUGCGUAUCAGAUUUUGUGAGAACCUGGAUGGGUACACUUCAUCGUCUAAGGAGACACUUCCGCUGUCCCUGGAGGAAAUAGAGAUCUUCUACAAAAGCAUGGUGGCAUUGCCUCCGAACCUUGGAAAUCUGGCCAAGCUGAGGAGGCUCGAUUUGAUUCAUUACACUGGCCUGAAAGCGCUGCCUAAUGGGAUGUGUGGCCUCACUUCUCUUAGGCAAUUAGUGAUUAUUGACUGUCCAGCUCUGGAGGAAUUCCCGCCCGGUCUUCUGCAACGGUUGCCAGCCCUCGAAUUCUUAAAAAUACAUGAAUGCCCUGAGUUGAAAGACGAUGCA